CUUAAAUCCAACCUAAUUGACACCCCGUACUCCUUCUCCACCCUGAACCCCAAUCGCCGUCGGACACCUCUUAUGCCGCACACAGUAAUCAUCACCGGUAGGUCGCCGCCCUGAACCACCACCCUUCUACGUCGCCGUCUUCAGAUGGGAAGAAUAGUGAUGCUACUAGGUCCAAGCAUUCGGUGACGGAGCAACAUAGAAGGAACAAGAUUAAUGAAAUUAAAAAACCAAGAAGGCGUACCCGUUCUUCUCAUACAGGUCAUUCACAAAGUACCGCAAAACGGGUGCAUCCAGACAAAGCAAGCACAUCGACAUAGUCCUAGACCAAUGCUUCUAUCAGUUUUGGUUGUUAUUCAGGUUAUUGUAGGAAACUUUGUUCCUGCAAGUCAGAAACAAACAACAUGGUUA